UCUUGUUGCCCAGGCUGGAGUGCAGUGGCACAGUAUCAGCUCACUGCAACCUCCACCUCCCAGGUUUAAGCAAUUCUCCUGCCUAAGCCUCACAAGUAGCUGGGAGUACAGGUUCCCGCCACCACACCUGGCUAAUUUUUUUUUGUAUUUUUAGUAGAAACAGGGUUUCACUGUGUUGAUCAGCCUGACCUCAGGUGAUCUGCCCACCUCAGCCUCCCAAAGUGCCCAGCCUCAUAAAUGCUUUUCUCAGUACAUGCCAUCACCAUGCACUCAAAUCAAGAAAGACCAGGCACAGUGGCUCAUGCCUGUAAUUCCAGCACUUCGGGAGAGCGAGGCAGAAGGAUUGCUUGAAUGCAGGAGUUCAAGACCAGUCAGGGCAACAUGGCAAGAACCUGUAUCUACAAAAAAUUUAAAAAUUAGCUGAGCGAGGCCAGGCACAGUGGCUCAUGCCUGUACUCCUAGCACUUUAGGAGGCCAAAGUGGGUGGAUCACCUGAGGUCAGGAGUUAGAGACCAGCCUGGUCAACAUGGAAAAAUCCCAUCUCUACUGAAAACACAAAAUUAGCCAGGUGUGGUGGUACAUGCCUGUAAUCCCAGCUACUCAGGAGGCUGAGGCAGGAAAAUUGCUUGAACCCAGGAGGCAGAGGUUGCAGUGAGCCAAGAUUGUGCCAUUGUGCUCCAGCCUGGGCAACAAGAGCACAACUCUGUCUCAAAAAAAAAAAAAAAAAAAAUUAGCUGAGUGUGGUGGUGCAUGCCUGUGGACCCAGGUAUUUGGGAAACUGAGGCCGGAGGAUCGAUUGAGCCCAGGAGGUAGAGGCUACACUGAGCAGCAUUUGCACCACGUAUUCCAACCUGAGCAACAGAGGGAGAUCCUGUCUCAAAAAAAGGAAAAAGAAAGAAGGAAAGAAAGCAGGUUGUUGCCCUUGUCUUUGCACAUUCACUUUAGACACACCGGCCAGCAGGUCUUGUGAUUUUACCUUCGAAAUAUGUUCUUCUGUACAUUCUUUUGCCCAAUGCCAAGAGAAUAGGUGACUGGUUUUAGCAACUUGGAAGCUGUGAGUGACCUUGAAAAAACUUUUCAGGGUUGCUGAGUAGGAAAAAACCAAGCUAUGAAGGGUUGAAGAAAGGCUGAGAGGUGAAGGAUGCAAUCUGCAUGUCAUGACAUCUCUUUCAAGAAGUUUGGUGGUAAGGGGAAGGUCUCCAAGCACACCUUGUGAUUUCAAUUAUCAUGCUGUUUUCCUUUGAUAGGGAUGUGCUUCUUACCUUUCUCAUUCAAGUACCCCACCUGUCUUUCAGACUCAACUCAAGCAUCACUCCCUGAACCUCAGGUUCUCCCGUCUGGACACCCACAGCCCUUGGAUGUCCCUGCAUCACAGCACCGAUCAUGCUAUCUUCCCACUGUGUACCUGUGCAUGUACGUCUCUCCCAUCAGACCGGGAGACACCUGUGAGGGCAGAGACUGGGUCUAAUCAGAUCUGAAUGGAACAUGGCAGGCAUGAAGAAUACCUCAGAAUGAUGAGCUGGGAGUCCCAGACCUGCCACUGAUGAGUUGAGUGACCCUGAUCAAGUUAGGUAACCUCUCCAAGACACUGAGGAUCUAACGAUGUCACAUCUAUACAACUUGGUAGCCCAAGCACUUGUAGGCUUAGUGAUUCUGCACAUCAGAAUCAUCAGGAGACAAUUUAUUUAUUUGGACAAUUUGGAGAUAGAUUUUUUUUUUUUGAGAUGAAGUCUUACUCUGUUGCCUAGACUGGAGUACAGUGGCGUGAUCUUGGCUCAUUGCAACCUCUGCCUCCCGAGUUCAGCCUCCUGAGUAGCUGGGAUUACAGGUGCCUGCCAUGAUGUCUUGCUAACUUUAGUACUUUUAGUGGAGAUGGAGUUUCACCAUGUUGGCCAGGCUGGUCUCGAACUCUUGACCUCAAGUGAUCCACCCACCUCAGCCUUCCAAAGUGCUGGGAUUACAGCCAUCAGCCACUGUGCCCAGCCAGGAGACUGGUUCAAACUACAGGUUUCCUAGGUCUAGGCCCCAUGCUAGAUCUCUGAAAUUAGGACAUCCAGAGGUAGGACAUGAAUACUUGUUGUUAUUGCUUGUAAGUUCCUAAGCAAUCCUGAUACACAGCCACACUGAGCCCCACUGUGUAAGAAGAGCUCCCAGUUGACUGUAAGAUCACAGGUACUCUCACUUAAGCCCCUUCCUGCAACCUACCCCAUGCCAGGCCCUGUGCUGAGCACAGGGACAAAGAAAAGAUUCAGGCUGAAAUCCUGCCUUCAAGAAAUAUUCAGGGUAAGUGAAGACAGACCUAGACUAAAUUAGACUAUGUAGUAGUAUUGCUAUAAAAGAAGUUUGUACUCCUUACUUCCUUCCUUUGCUCACCCAGUGAACAUUCCCUGAGCCCCACUGUGUAAGAAGGGUCAGCAUAGACUCCCCAUCACUGAGCACUAAUUAAGCAUGUGCCAUACACCUAGCCUUGUGCCAAGCUCCAUAGAGGCAGUGCAAUCAGGCGUGGUCCUUGCCUUGGAGGAAGUUCUAGGCCUUAUGGAAGACUACAGCCAGGAAUAAACCAGCUCUGAAACCAGGCAGAUCAAAGAAAGUACUAAGCCUUAGUGCCACUAGGCUGUGGGAGGGAAUGAUAAUGCUGAUGGUCUGGGAAGUCCCCACUGAGGAGGUGGGCCUUACAGGAUGGGUAUCAGUUUGUCAGGUGAAUGAGGAAACAGGUCUCACUGGCAGAGGGAACAGCAUGUGCAAAGGUUGGCAGAGGGAAAAGGUCUGGUGUGGCUGGGAGCAGAGGGUACAGCAGAGCAGUUGGUUGGUGUCCUGUGGGUGACAGGGAGCCAUGGAAUGUUUGUCACAGGGAAGGGAUGUGACUAGGCUGGGUUUUGGAGGCUCAUCCUGGUGGCCAGUGUGGAGGCAGGGAGGGCCGAGCCAGCACUUACCCAGAUCCGCCUCUCAACCUUACAGGGGCUCCACGAGCGGGUCACACACCUGACCUUGGAGCAAACCCGGCGGCUCCUGGGAGGGACGGUGGCUCCAGCUGGGGCCUGCUCAAGCCACAGAAACCCAAGAAGGGGGAGGGAGGGGGUGUCAGAGGCCCUCUACACCUGAAGAGACUCAGAGCUCUUUUCAGACCCUACCAGAGCCCUCCGUCAGCUGGGCUGUGGCAGGGAGUGUCCUCUUUCUCCUCAGCUCUCAUGGUAACAGGGGAGGCUCAGAGAAGGCUGAUGACUGCCAAAGUUACACAGAAAAGGACAAGUAGUCUCUUUCCAGAAUUAGCCCACCCUCCCCUAUUUCAUGCUGCUGGGGUUUCCAGUCUCCAGGGAGGACAGGGUGACUCCCAUCUGUCCUCUAGCCCACCUGGUCCGCUUCACCCCCAGCCUCGUCCCUGGCUAUGGCCCCAGGCCCUGUGUUCCCAGUAAACUGGUGUUAGGGGCUCCUGGAGCCUCCACCCGGAGUGAGGUAUGAAUUGCAGCAUGUCAGAGGACAAAGAGCAGGUCAUUCCCACACAGGCUACAGAGAGAAGCCCAUAUACACAGAGGUGAACACACAGAGACAAGCAGACACACGCCCCUACUCUAGUAAGCCCAGGCCCAGAGGGAUGUGUGUAUGUGGAAUAUGGGAGAUAGAACAGAGGUCGGAGCAGAGAGAAGGGUCAGGAGAGCCACAGAAGAUGGUCAGGAGAGCCACAGGAGGUGGACAGGCAGAGAAAGACGAGGCCGCUUCAUAGAGUCACAGAGUGCAGAUGGUCGCCCGUGCUUCCUUCCCUCGACCUCUCUUUGGUGGAACUGAUUCGACCCACAUAAAGAAGCUUUGGAGCUCAGAGCCAAGGUAGCCCAACUGGGGACCCUCCACCCGGCAGACUACUGCUAUAACCUCCUUACUCCCAGCUUCCUCCAAUUCACCCGCCACUUGGAAGCCUGAGUCUGUCCCCCAAAAUCUGACCUCAGCCCUCACUGCUGAAUGCCCUUUUUUGCUCCCUACAGGCCUCAGGAAAAGUCCAUUUCCUACAACUGGACUUUGAAGCCCAUAGUGAGCUGGCCCCGAUGACCUCAGAGGUCACUCUCCUGUUUUAUUCACCCCAUGAAUUGCUCUCCAGCCAAGCAGACUCUGGGCCCUUAGACACAUGCAUAUGUGCACACAUACUUGUGCACACACACACAUGCACACAUCACUUCUCUGUCCCUGCUCAUGCAGUUACUUCUGCAGAUAAUGUGCUCCUCUCAGAAUAUCACUGACCUAGGUUCCAUGAUAGGCUUUUCCACUGACUUAAGACUAUAAGCUUUGGACAAGUCACCUGCCCUCUCUGAACCUCGGCUUCCUUAUCUAUAAAAUGGGACUAAAUACCAACCUCCACCCACCUGCCCUGCCAGGGUUGUUGGAAGAUGAAAUGUCACUGAUGCCAGGGGCUUAGCAUGAUGCCUGGCCCUCAGCAGGUGGAUGCCUGAGGGGGUUUCUAAAUGCAUCCAGGUCUCCCCUGCUGCUUCCCAGUGGACUUUCUCUGUAGGUGAGCAGGGCCUCCAUUGUGCCACACAUAGAAAGAGCAAGCACAGAUUCUGGAGUCAGGCAGAUGGGAGUGGAGGCCAAGAUGGGCCUUGGGUGGCUCUUGAAACCCUCACCUCCAUCAGUCACAAGCUCUGUUGACUCCAUCCCCUAAAUAUGUCCUGUACUUGUCAGCCUGUCUCGGCCAGCAAGGCCUUAGUCCAGAUCUCCAGUCUGUUGUCUGGACAGUGUCCCAGCCUCCUAACUGGCCUCUAGGUGUCUGCAGUUGCCCUCUACAAUGCUUUCCCUACCUACCAGCCAGAUUAUCUUUUUUUCUUUUUUCCAUAACAAAAUUUCAUAAACUGACAGACUACUCUUUGUUGUUUACAUGCCAAAUGUUACAAGUGUCUUUUUAUCUUUUUUUUUGAGAUGGAAUUUUGCUCUUGUUGCCCAGGCUGGAGUGCAAUGGUACAGUCUCAGCUCGCUGAAACCUCCACCUCCUGGGUUCAAGCAAUUCUCCUGACUCAGCCUCCCAAGUAGCUAGGAUUACAGGCAUGUGCCACCAUACCUGGCUAAUUUUUGUAUUUUUAGUAGAGACAGGGUUUCUCCAUGUUGGUCUGGCUGGUCUUGAACUCCCAACCUCAGAUGAUUAGCCUGCCUCUGCCUCUCAAAGUUCUGGGAUUACAGGCAUGAGUCACUGCACCUGGCCAACAAGUAUCUUUUUAAAAAUAUAAAUUUAACCUGAUCUGAUCAUGCCAUCCCUCUGCUCAAAAACUUUUCAUGGCACCCUGGUGCUCUUAGCAGAAACCAACAUCCUUCAUAUAGCCCACAAGGCCCGGUCCUGCCAACCCUCCUUCCCCACUUCCCCACUUCCCCACUCACUCCUUAAGCACCAGCUACUCCAGCUGUCCUUCUGUUCCUCAACUUGCCAACAUCUUAACUUCUCUUAGAGCCUUUGCACAUGCUGAUCCCUCUGGCUGGAAUGCUGCUUAGCAAAGGGGAUUCAGGGAAUGCUGAAUUCCCUUUACCUUAGCCCCACACUUUUCACCCGGUCAAUUUCUGUUUAUCCUUCAGUUCUCAGUUUAAGCCUCGCCUGAACUACCACCUGGAUGAAAGGGCCAGACACUGCAAAUCCCUGUCAGAGCCCUUAUUACUAUUAAAAUGGAAUAAUUAAUCGUUUCAUGUCUGGCUCCUCACUAGGCUGAGUACAGGAGGGCAGAGCCCGCAUCCCCUUGGUUCACCCCUGAUCGCUGGCACUUGGCACAGCACCUGGCCCAUAGUAGGAGCUCACUAAAUCUUUGUUGUGCUGAUGAAUGAGUUUCAGUCUUACAGGGAGAGAACAAUAACCCCAACCUUACAGGACUGUUGUGAGGAGCAGCUGGAAUGGUACCUGCACCAUGCCUGGCACAUAACAGUUGCUUGAUAAAAGACAGUUCCUUUUCCCCAGCUCACAUGCCACUCCCUCCAGCAAGUCUCCAUGGAGGCUUCUCUCUCUCCUCCGAGCACCAGUUGGCUGUCCCCUAUCCUUUCCCACUUGGGACUUAGGCAUCAGAGUCUACGCAAACACAUGAGACUGAGAACUUCUGGCAGGUGGGGACCGAGUCUGAGUCACUCAUGAUUCCAUGGCACAUAGAGGUGGUGGGGAGAAGGUGAGAGAAUGGGGGACUCACCGGGGUGGAGUUUGCCUCCAGCAGCGCUGUCUUCCAUGCUCUGCAAAGCAAAUCCCAUCAGAGUAUGAGGAGGGAGUUUGGGGGUAGGGAAAUUGGGCCCCUACAUUUUAGAUUUUCCUCUUCAACCCAGCCUCAAGCCCGUCUCUCAUGAAAGGAGAGAUCUCUUGUCUCUCUCAGGAAGACAAAGGUGACCCCUCCCCUGCCCCAGUCACAUGGAUGGAACACUAAGUGAGCCUAAUUUCAUUCUUCUUGUCUCCUCUAGAAGUUCCAGUUUCCUCAUCUACACAGUUGAUGGUGGGGCUUGGGUGGUCUCUCAGAGGAUGUCAGAUUUUGACACUCCUGGGUGGGUGCUCUAGCCGCAGCCCCCCUCACACCCCAAAUCUACAAACAAAACAGUUCCCCAAAGCUCUGACCCCAGAGUCCCAGGAAGGCCCAGCAGACACGGGACAAUUGGGCCUUUGUUGGUUGCCAUGGCACCUGCUGGGUUGGACAAGGCAGCUCUGUGCUGUCUGCCUGGAGCUCAGCUUCCCUACUCCCACACACCCAUCUCUUUCACUCUCCUCCAGCGCAAAGGCCAGGCACCCCUCAGCCAGAGGGUAGGAAGGGAUGGUAUGUGAGUAAGCGGACGGUGCCUGAGGAGGACACACCCAGGCUGGCCGUGUGGAUAUGCAUCUGACAUUGGAGUACCCCUGCCUGGGACAUAGCUGACUGCCUUUGUAGGCAGGUCUGGGGCUACCCUUCAGAUCAGAGUCCACCAGAAGCGCAGGGCAUCUUCUCAGAGGGGAGCAAGGGUGCCACUAGGCUGCCCUGCUGCUUUGCAUCACCCUUGGUGAGGGCUCACCUCAGAGGCUGCUAAAGACCAGGAACCAGACACCUGAGGCAGGUGUGCAUACCUCUCCUCAGCAAUCCCGAGUUCAUCUGAGACCACAUGAGGAGUCCACUGUGUGCCAUACCAAUCAACCAUGAGCCCUCCAAAUCCACUCCACCCACCUCCAAUUAGACACCCUUGCUGACUGGCUUCAGUGCCCUCUUCCUACUGUCAGAGAGUCAGAAGGCCCAAUGAGAAGGGGGUGCAUCGUCACUUUCUCGAGAUUCCACCCCAUCCUCUCCUGAGAGUGACUCACAGGGCAUCAUCCUUGGUCUCUGCACAUAGGUGCAGGCGGGAGCCUUCCCGUAGGUUCACAGUGAGCAGGCCAUCUCGGCUCCGGCCCUCUGGGGGCUGCACAUCUGGAAGCAGACACAUAUAUAUGGGUUUCCACAGGCACAAGCCCCAGGUCCCCCCAGUAAACCAGGAACAGGAAUAGGAACUGACUUCUUUGGGCUAUUUACUGGCCAUUGCCAACCUCCUCCGAUCCCAUAUCCUCUCUCAGGGAUUCUACUCUAUGAUACCAAACUUUCCAACCUUUCCAUGCUGAUGCUUCCCUCAGCAUACCUCCCAGUUACCCUGUUACAACUGUGGCCUGAGCCUUGGGGGAGGAAUGUGAAGAUUUGCUGUGACUCUGGGCCACUUAGCUACUCUAAGCCUCCUAAUUUCAUUUCAUCUUCAUCCAGUAACUAGCGCCUGGAGGGCAGGAACUGCUCCUGACUCACCUCUGAGACACAGCACAGAGGAGAAAGGCACUAAAGGACUGAUUUCUCUUUUCCUUGCUUUCUUUCUUUCUUUUUCUCUUUCUUUCUUUUUUUUCUUCUCUCUUCUUUUCUUUCUUUUUCUCUCUUUCUCUCUUUCUUUCUCUCUGUCUGUCUGUCUGUCUGUCUGUCUAGCUCUGUCCCCCAGGCUGUAGUAUAGUACCAUGAACACUCACUGCAACCUCUGCCUUCCAGGCUCAAGCAAUCCUCCCACCUCAGCCUCUUGAGUAGCUGGGACCACAGGCACACACUACCAUACCCGGCUAACUUUUGUUUGUUUUUGUUUUGGUAAAGAUGGGGUUUUGCCAUGUUGCCCAAGCUGGUCUUAAACUCCCAGACUCAAGUGAUCCACAUGCCUCAGCCUCUCAAAGUACUGGGAUCAUAGCUCACUGCAGCCUUGAACUCCUGGGCUCAAGCACUUCUCCUGCCUUGACCUCCCAAGUAAGCAUAUGUGACCACAUCUCACCAUUUUUUUUUUUAGAGACAUGGUCUUGCUACCCAGGCUGGUCUAGAACCCCUGACCUCAAGUGAUCCUCCUACUUCAGCCUCCCAGAGUGCUGAAAUUACAGGCAUGAGUCACCACACACAGCCAAGGACCUAUUUCUUAACUCACACCAAACUAAAUUGGAGUUGACAGAGGCUUAGAAGCAACAUCUGGGAAAUGCCUCUGAAAGCUGCAAAGAGGCUUCCAACUGCAGGUAUUCUCAGACACAGGGGUAGGGCUCUGCCCACAGUCACAGUGCCACAGAGGAAGGGGCUUCUGCUCACCGUGGCACUCUUGGCCGAUCUUUAUGUCACGGACAUUGAAGUGGAUGAGCACACGGUCCUCCUCGUCCUGCGCUGUCUCAUCAUGGUAGUAUCCCAGAGUUCCGUCCAUCCACAGGGCAAACCAGUUUCGCUUCCAGCGGCGGAGAAUGGAGCCUGUACAAUAUUCCAGAUGCACUAGGCAGGCUGGUCCCAGAGCCUGCUGGUGAUAGGAGCCCCAGACAGGCUCCCAAGUCCCCUCAGCCUCAGUCCCUAGUGUUAUAACCACCUUUUUCUUGUGUAUCUACUCCAUGAGGGCAGGACCUCUUUCUCUCUUGCUCACUGCCUACCUCCCAUUGGGCCUGAUGCAUAGUAGAGGCUCAAUAAAUUCGUUGAAUGGGGAAAUGAGUAAUGGGGCCCAUUGCUUGGGAGCUUCUAAGGCCAAGCUCCAGGUCUUUUCAAGGGCAAAGACCUCUCCCUACCUUGAGCCUCCAUCUUCUCUCUCUCUCUCUUUUUUGAGAUAGGGUCUUGCUCUGUCACCCAGGCUGGAGUGCAGUGGUGCAAACAUGGAUCACAGCAGCAAGUGAUCCUCCCACUUCAGCCUCCUAAAUAGCUGGGUCAUCAGGCAUGCACCACUGCACCUGGCUGAUUUUUAAUUUUUGGUAGAGAUAGUGGGUCUCACCAUGUUGUCCAGGCUAGUAUCAAAUUCCUGGGCUCAAGCGAUCCUCCCAGCUCAGCCUCCCAAAGUGAUGGGAUUACAGGUGUGAGCCAGUGCGCCAGCCUCUUAUCGCUCAUCCCUGACUCAUGUGAUGGUUAUUUGUGUAGCCUCUGCCUCCUGUACCAAACUGGGAGUUGCAGCUCCCCACACAGGUCCUGGAACCUGGGGAGACCUGUGCUCAGUGUUUGCUGAAUGGAAUGAACUGAGAAUGGACAGGGGGAUGGGGCAUGGGGCUGCCUGUCCCAGGGGUCCCAGGAUGAUUCUGGUCAGAGGUGGGUCUGGAAGCCUGACACCUAGCUUCAGACAUUUUGCAACUGGAAAUCUUAACAGGGAAGGGCAAAGACAUAAGAGAACUUCUGAGGGCUUUGUGGAUUCCAAAGCACAGAGGCAGUUUUCACUUUGUUCUGUACAUUGUUCUAUGUCCAGCCUGGGGUUGGGGGACUGUGGACACACAGAGGGUCAAACCCAGCCCCUGCCCUUGAGAAGCUCGCAGACUGGGGGCAGUCGGGUCAGGGAGUAGGGAGACCCACAGAUAAAGACAGUUCUGUUAUAAGGAGAUCACUGUAAGGCACGGUGGGAACCAAGAAGGGAGCCUCUAAUCCAGCUUGACACUACCGCAGGGGCAGGGGUGGGGGCUGGAGGAAAAGCCAAGGAAGGCUCCUCAGGGAGGGGCCCAUCUGAGAUGAGUGGUGAAGAACAAGUGGAAGUUUACCACUCAGUCAGGAAUGGGAAAGACCUUCAAGCAGAGGAAAGAGUGUGGUCAGAGGAAAGGAUGAAAACAUCCUGGCUUCUUGGGAGAAGGGUUCCCCGUGGCAAGCCCAGUAAGUCACUUCUCUCACCCUGCCCCAGGACCAGGGGCCCAGGAUCACUCACUCUGUCUCCACAGCCAGCCGCCCCUCAGCAGGGCCAUUUCUUCAAAAGGACUUUCCAGGGCGGAGUCAGGCGGGACCUGUCAGAGGAGCCACAGGAGACAGGCCUCAGCAGCAACUCCCUGGAGAGAAGCCCCCAGCCCUGCCGUCCCCAGGGGAACCACCCAGGAAACGUUUGAAGGAGGGUUAGUAAAAAAACAA